AGUGAACGCUGGCGGUAUGCCUAACACAUGCAAGUCGAACGGCAGCACAGUAAGAGCUUGCUCUUACGGGUGGCGAGUGGCGGACGGGUGAGGAAUACAUCGGAAUCUACUUUUUCGUGGGGGAUAACGUAGGGAAACUUACGCUAAUACCGCAUACGACCUACGGGUGAAAUCAGGGGAGCUUCGGACCUUGCGCGAUUGAAUGAGCCGAUGUCGGAUUAGCUAGUUGGCGGGGUAAAGGCCCACCAAGGCGACGAUCCGUAGCUGGUCUGAGAGGAUGAUCAGCCACACUGGAACUGAGACACGGUCCAGACUCCUACGGGAGGCAGCAGUGGGGAAUAUUGGACAAUGGGCGCAAGCCUGAUCCAGCCAUACCGCGUGGGUGAAGAAGGCCUUCGGGUUGUAAAGCCCUUUUGUUGGGAAAGAAAAGCAGCAGGUUAAUACCCCGCUGUUCUGACGGUACCCAAAGAAUAAGCACCGGCUAACUUCGUG
rnacentral:rRNA from 1 species